GACGAACGCUGGCGGCGUGCUUAACACAUGCAAGUCGAACGAUGAAGCCUUCGGGUGGAUUAGUGGCGAACGGGUGAGUAACACGUGGGCAAUCUGCCCUGUACUUUGGGAUAAGCCUUGGAAAACGGGUCGUAAUACCGGAUAUCACUUCUGACCGCAUGGUUGGUUGUUGAAAGUUCUGGCGGUACAGGAUGAGCCCGCGGCCUAUCAGCUUGUUGGUGGGGUAAUGGCCUACCAAGCGACGACGGGUAGCCGGCCUGAGAGGGUGACCGGCCACACUGGGACUGAGACACGGCCCAGACUCCUACGGGAGGCAGCAGUGGGGAAUAUUGCACAAUGGGCGAAAGCCUGAUGCAGC
rnacentral:rRNA from 1 species